UCAGCUGCUAUAUCAUUUAUUUGUUACCAGGUUGAUUGGAAGAGUGUAGAAGAAAAAUGGAAAAUUUGUUUAGAUAUUUUACAUUUCCUGAAGAUGUCUUCUUAUUUGAACCCUAGAGGUUUAUGGUCUUUCUCUCAGGAUUCCCAGAGGUACCGGGAUUCUUAAGGAGGAGUUGGGUAGGAAACAGGUAUCUACACGUUCUAGAAGACUUGUUCAUUGGAUAAUCGUCAAUGACUAUAAUUAGGCCUGUCUACAAAGAAGAGGAUUCCACACAAGGAAAAGUGCUCUAAGAUACCAAAAUGACUCAACAGCUUAACCUGACCUGGGUAUACUGAUAUGUGUGUGGAGAGAAUGACCCAUACAGGUUUUAGAGGAUGUACUUUCCUUUUGCUGAGAAAAAAUACAGAGCAAAUUUCCCUCCAAGCUUUUUCUAUCUCCUCUAAAGCUACACCAAAACCAGAAGCCUGACCUUUGGAUUCUUCCAUGACCCCAGCAUUCUCAGCAGGUCAACUGAAAACCACAAGAAGAAACAAAGACACCUACAGAAUAAAUUCUGCCUAUUCUGAUAUUAAGAAGUAGAUGGAGAUCAAGCCAACUACCACAAAAGGAUAAUUAGUGAUUCUAGGUAAUUUCAUUUGAUUACCUUACAGCUCAUUGUAUUAAAUCUUUAUGUGUUAGUAUCUGUAUCAAUAUUGGAAUAAAAUUAGGCAUUUUACAGAUAAUCCUGAAAUGUCAAUACAGAUGCAUGCACAUAUAAGUUAGAAUAGUUUGGUGCUUUGAUGUAUAUCAGUACAAAACUUCCAGUAUGACUACAGGUCCAAAGAUACGUAUUAUACAUUCAUCUAGUCCAGGUGUUAGAAAUAAUCUGUAUUGGGACACCUGGGUGGCUCAGUUGGUUGAGCAUCAGACUUCAGCUCAGGUCAUGAUCUCACGGUUCAUGAGUUCAUGCCCCACAUCAGGCUCACUGCUGUCAGUGCAGAGCCGACUUUGGAUCCUCAGUCCCCUUCUCUCUGCCCCUCUCCUGCUUGCAUGCUCUCUCAAAAAUAAAUAAACAUUUGGAAAAAAUAAUCUAUACUAACAAUAUUUGUAGAGAGGUCAAUAAUGAGUAUCUGAAAUAUUUACAUUUUUAUUUAUUUAAUGAUUUCAUUUACUAAUGUUUAUUUUUAUUAUUGUCAAGUGUUAGCCAAUUAAUUAGCGAUAAAAUUGUGUUUGCAUUUAAGUCUAAAUAUAGGCAGUAACAUAACAGCAAAUUUAUAUCUUUUGUAAAUAUUUUCCUUGCAGACAUUUGUACACUUGCACAAAUAAAAUAUUCUCAAAAUAAAAGAAAAAUUAAUGGAAUGAGUUGUACAUUAAUAGUCUUAACCCAGAACAAUAUCUGUCUUUUACAUCUUACCUUGUUAUAAACUUUACUACAUUCCAAACUGUAUUAACACUUGGCAAAAAGUUAUCACUAAGAGAGGCCACCAGAUAUCUACUAAGCAAGAAAUACCUGAAUUCUCCAACAUUGGUGAUUGUAUUCUGUCAGUUUGAUCCACUAACAUCAUCUGGGAACUCACCAUGAGACAUUAUUAUGCUUGAUUCUGAAGAUUAAAAAAUAAAUAGAAUGUUCCCUGCCCUUGAGACUUUUUUCCUACACAGGGAAAGAAGGAAUGAAGGAAGAAAGGAAGAACAUUAUUUCUAAUAUGGUCUCAGUUGACAGUAUUUUUCUUUGUUGUAAAGGACCGUAUUCACAUUAUUGUCAAACUAUAAUUGUUAGCCAACCAUUUUAUUUCACACAUAAGAAAAUUGAUGCUGAGAGACAAACUAAUUUUUUCAAGUUCAUAUGGUUUGCUAUUUUUAGGUCCAGAAUGAAAAACGUAUGUUUUCUAUAGAUUCCUAAGCAUCUCAAGAAAAUGUAUGAUUAUAGAUCUAGGAAAAGAUACCUAGAUAUGGAAGAACUUGUCCCUUUCUCAGCUGCUUUGACUUUUGAAUCUGUAGCUGGUGUCUUAGCCUUUUCAUCUUUUUUCUUGAUGUUGCUUAAAUAUAUUAUGGCUAAAUUCAACUCUGUUGUAGACAACCUUGAUUUCUUCCUUUUCUUCCUUAUCUUUUGUUAGUAUUUUUUUUAUUAAAUUUUUUUUCCAAUCCAUAUAAAGUAGUGCUUCUCAAACUUUAAUAAUCAUCUAAAUUACUUGGGGUAUUAGUGAAAUGCAGGUUCUAAUUUAGUUAAGUCUGAGAAGACACAUGAAAUUUUGUGAUUUUGAUAAAUUCUUAAGUGAUGUUGAUGCUGCUUAUCCUAGCCUCAUUCUUUAAUGAUUAGCAAGGCUUUGAAAGGGCAAAAUGAUAUAAAUUUGUUAUUGCUCUACUUUAAAGGCUGAGUAGUCCUUUCAUUCCUUGAGGACAUUUGAGAUUUGGAAUAGUCCACCUUGAGGGAGGCUGCCUCAAAGCAAUUAGGUGGAUAAUGAAGGUUUGUGCAUUGUUGUCAAAAAGAUCCAUAUGGAUAUAAGGAAGAAAGAACACAAAUCAGCUAUUGAACUUCCAUGAUUCCCUUUUCUCAGUGACUAUUAGGUUUAUUGGCAUACAUUUAAGAUUAAAUAGCCAAGAAAAAUAACAUUUUCUGAGCAUCAUUUCUGGUGUUUGGGAUUGAUUUUAACAUGAAUAAACUGUAGGAUUAUGCCUUUGACUAAUUUUUCAGCAACAUAUAGUAUUUAUUCAGCCAAUAAGCAUUCAUUAAGCCCAACUACAUGGGAGUGCAUUGCCCUUAUUGCUAUAUAAGCAAAAACAGCUAGUGGUGUCACUAUCUCCGGCAAGUUACAACACAAAAUAAGCUACUGAUUUGACAAUGACCUAGGAAUUUUAUGUUUGUCUCCAUAUUUGGUAGCAAAAUAAUUUCAUUUACAUAUUUUCUGAAUUAUAAUAAUAAUGGUGGUUGUAUAAAUAUAAAUCUUGCAACAUGUCCUCUUCACGCCUCUAAAACAGAAAAAUAAAAUAAAAAUAAGAACAAAUAAAACUAUAAAUAUCCAUUCAUGCUAUUAGGAUAAAUAUAAGAGGCCAUCCUCAAUUUAUCUUUGCUCUAAGUGAAAAAAUAAAUAGCACAUUCCACCAAGCUACUGGCCAUGCUCCAUCCUAUGUACUUAUGGAAAACAAGAAAAAUUUGAGAGAGGGAUCAACAUUUUCAGGAAACUCAAAUAUAAUUGUGGACAAAGAAUUUCAUAAACAGCAAAACUGUUUCUAUCAAGGUUACAUGAAAAGAUUAAAUAUGCAAGAGGUCAAGGAAUUGUGUACUCAUUAGCCCUUCCUGAGGAAUCUAUUAGAAGAUGAACUUCAUCCAAUCAAGAGAGAAUAGGGGCAAUAACAACAAAAGGACUAACAGACAUUUUGUAUACUUAAUUCUAGAUUAAAGACUAAAAGGAAUGUAUGAAUGGUGUUGGAAUAAAAUGCUUUAUAUGAUGUAUGUCACGUGUAUCUUACAAUAUAGUGCUACAAAUAAGGAAAGGAAAUAGGGCAAGAAAAAAUUAGCAUAUAUUUAUUGAUUGUGGUACUAGCAUUAGGUAUACUGAUUAAGGACACCAUUAGAGUGCUCAUUUCAGCAGUACAUAUACUAGAUUGGAAUAAUAUAGAGAUUAGCAUGACUCCUGUGCAAAGAUGACACACAAAUUUGUGACGUGUUCCAUAAAAAAAAAGAAAAUCUUUGAAAGAGAAUAAACCCACACUGGAUUAUAACAUAGACAUUACAUGAUUAAAACACAUGGUUCUGAUGCAUGAAGAGUCAUGCUAACCAGAGAAACAAACGUUCAGAAUUACACUAAAAAUAUAUGACAGUUUAAUAUGAGAUGAGGGUAGCAUCUCAAAUCUUUUGGGAAACAAGAGGCUUUUUAAAUAACAUUAUUUGGAUAAUUGGCUGGUCGUUUGACAAGGAUAAAAUCAGAUCCAAAUCUCACACCAUUGCACAAGGCUAAAUAUUUAGAGUUCAGAGCUCUAAAUAUAAAAAUAUAAAACCAAAUAAGUUUUCGAAGAAAACGUAGGUGAAUUCCUCCUUGUGCAGAAAUGCUUUCUAACUGCAAGUAAAAAUGUAGAAGCAUAAAAAAAAUGGACAAAUUAUACUUAAUAGACAUAAACUGCAUGCCUAAAAUGCCAUAGAAAAGUAAUGAUACUAAGAGGAUGAAAUGAUACUAACAGAAUGAAAAAACAAACAAGCUACAAAUUAGAAGGAAAUAUUUGCAGAUAACAUAUCUGAAAAAGGACUUUUAUCCAGAAUAUUAUAAAGAAGUCUCAAAAUUCAAUAGUAAGAAAACAAAUGACCCAAUUAAAAAAAAUCAGAGACUUGAGAAACCUCAUCAGAUAGGACAUAUGGAAAGCAAUUAGGCAUAUGAACCAAGUUCAAUAUUCUGAGCUAUUAGGGAAACACAAAUUAAAACCAUAAUGAGAUACUAUUCCACACCUAAUAGAAUAGUUAAAAUGAAAAAUGCUAGUAACACCAAGUGUGGGUGAGGAUGCAGACUAAAUGGGACUUGGCGUAAAGUGAUGGUAGGUAAGCAAAAUGGUGUAGUUACUUUAGACAGUUGUGGCAGUUUUUUAUAUAGUUAAACUAAUUGUAUUUCUCAGAAAUUCUACUCAUAUAUUUGUUCUAGAAUAAUGAAAACCUAUAUUUACACAAUCACUUGUACACCAAUGUUUAUAGCUGCUCUUUCAUAAUCUCCAAAACCUGGAAAUAACACAGAUGUUCUUCAGUGGGUGAAUGGGUCAGUGUCCCCUGGCACAUCCACCCACCAGAAUAUUAAUCAGAAAUAACAGUGAAUAAACUUGAUAUGCAUAAAUAGUUUUGAUAGUUUUGAUUACACUGAGUGAGAGAUGCUAGUUUCAAAUUGUUAAAAACUAUAUGCGUCACUGACACGACAUUCUCACAAUCACAAAACUAUAGUCAAGGAGAACAGAUGAGUGGUUGCCAGGGUGAGAGAGGAGAGGAUGUGACUGCAAAGGGGUAAUACCCAAUAGAUUCGGGGCUGGUGUUUAUUACAAUGGUGUUUAUAAAAGUCUGUAUAUAUAUAUAUAUAUAUAUAUAUAUAUAUAUAUAUAUAUCAAAAUUAAAGAAUUGUACACAAAAUAUCUUAAGUUUACUGUGUUAAUAUAAAAAGAAGUAGAAAAAUACCCGAAAAACUUGAAAACAUACGGAUAUUUAUAAAGUGGAGGAAAUCCCAAGGGAUGUGUUAGUCACCUUUUUCAAAAAAGGUGAGGCGGAAAGACUAUCUUCAGUAUAGCACUCUUUAUAGAAAAUGAGAUCUAAAAUAUAUAUAUACUGAGCCACCACAGAGGCCUGGGUGGCUCAGUCGGUUAAGCUUCUGACUCUUGCUCAGGUCAUGAU